CUUGUACUGCCAAAAAAUAGCAAGUAAAAAAACAUACAAGAUUACAUAGAAAAAAGUUGAGGAAAAAGAUAGAGCGCACCAGCAACACUAAUCAAAUCCAACAAAACAACUUGAACCCACUAAUAGUCUAAACUUAAGCAAGAAAUUUUUCAUAUUUGUUAUGAAAAAUUUGAAAGAACGAGAUAGAGAAAAAAAAAUCCAAGAUCUAUGACAAAAAUUCUGAGAUCCCAAGAGCGUCAUCGAUAAAUAUACUUAUAUCAUACUAAUUGUAGCACAUUAACUAAACUUCAAUUCAUAUCAGCUAUCACAAAAUAAAAAGAAUUCGCAUAAGCACAAAACAAUUAAUAAAUAAGAGAAAUAUCAGUAUAUCACGAUUGCUAGUAAAGUCAAAG
rnacentral:misc_RNA from 1 species